rnacentral:rRNA from 1 species
UACGUAGGGUCCGAGCGUUGUCCGGAAUUAUUGGGCGUAAAGGGCUCGUAGGCGGUUUGUCGCGUCGGGAGUGAAAACUCGGGGCUUAACCCCGAGCCUGCUUCCGAUACGGGCAGACUAGAGGUAGGCAGGGGAGAGCGGAACUCCUGGUGUAGCGGUGGAAUGCGCAGAUAUCAGGAGGAACACCGAUGGCGAAGGCAGGUCUCUGGGCAUUAACUGACGCUGAGGAGCGAAAGCAUGGGGAGCGAACAGG